GCGCCUCGGCCAGUGUUUCCAGGCAAUUCAGCGGCGUUUUCACAAGCAUUAGGAAACUCGUUCAUGGCCACUGAAAAGUGAGGGGCGGCUCAAAUCCGAUUUCCCACGGAUUCCUACCUCCAACGUCAGAUAAUGUCCGGAAAAGGUACCACCAAAUAAGCAUGAGAGUAUUAUUUUGGAGAAACAAUUAACCCCUACCCAAAUAUAAAGCGCCCGAGGAAGGUGAGACCGGAAGACAAGCAAGCCCCGUGCAUUCGCUGGUGCGGAAAGUGCGGCGCGGGGCCGGGCCUCGGGUUCGGGCCCCGCACUUCAGCACCGGAGGGGAUGGACAGCGUCUCCGGGCUGGGCUGCCGCCCCCGGGUCCGAACUGCGGCGCCGCGGUCCUCGCUGCCGCCGUCACCAAGGGUAGCCCGACUCCGGGCUCCUCGCAGCUAAGAGGCGGCCUUUCCAGAUGCCCCCGCGCCCCGCUCGGCUUCGUGACCCACGGAAAGUAACCCUCUUUUACUUGCUAUAGCCCCGCGCGGGGCUCUGAGAAGCUCUCCGGUUCCACAGAUUAAACUCAGCUGCAACUUCAAGAAUCAUUUUCCGCGGGGGCCAGAGGAAUACCAGGAGGAGAGUGAGGCCGAAGUUCUCAGAGGCUCCAGAAACCAUGGGCUCUGCAGUCGGGGUCCGAGUGCUCAAAGGCCCCUGCUUCCCCGAAUAAACAGAAUGCUCCCGGGAGGAUUGCACCUGUUUUGGAAAUAGCUUUGUGAGAGGUUCCAGAUCUACUCAGAACCUGACGUUAGAGACACGGGAGGAAUUCUGAGCCCUUUACUUGACAGGUAAGGUUUUAACGGAAAGAUUAGAACAGUAUUGUUUUUCCUUGUGGAUUCAGAAGAUGAACAACUUGAAUUUUAAACGGUUGUUCCUGCAUAAUGAUCUUUAGGAAAAUUUUGACUAAAAUAGUUGGAUAUUUUAUUUCUCUGAAAUCCCUUAUGUGACAAUAAUAUGAAAUAUUCUGUACAUGCUUAUAUAAUUAUAGUAAAAUCUCAGUUGGGUAUUUUUAUUGAUCUAAUAUCUUUUUGAAUGUAAGUCACCCCCCUCAUAAUAUAAUAUGGAAUUUUAUAAGAGUUUCUUUUUUCCCUUGGUCUUAUGAAUGUAGUUUAAAGUGAUCCUGUCUGUGUCACAUAGUAUGCAAGACUCGAAAGUUACUAGCCGUGAUGGUUUAACUAUCUCUUCUACUAUAUUUAUAUGAUUAUAAUUUGCCAAAUUGUGCACAGGAGUGGACACUUGUGGACACACACCUGACCCCCCCCCCCCCCCCCCCCCCNACACCUGUGGAAUCUUACCUAAAGAAACACACACAUUUUUAUGCAGCGUUGUCUUUCCAGCCUUUUAAAGCUGAAGACUGCUGGCUCGAAGCAGAUCUGCCAGAAGGCAGAAAAUGAGAUGCUUUAGUGUGCCUUUUUAGGAGAUCUGGAUUUCCAUAGCAUUCUGACUUCUGAGUUCUACAAAUUUCAUUUGUCACUGAAAUCUCAAAAGGGAUGAGGGGGCCAAGAGGUCCUUGAAAAACCAUAACUUUAAAGUGUUAACUAAUGAAAUCUAUUUUCUGUUGAUUUGUACUUCUGGAGUCUCCCCCUGGAGCUUUAAAACUACAAUCUUUCACAGUGACCUUGAUAAGCAUUUUGCUUUACUAAAAAGGCUUCACUGGUUACACAAACGUAUAGCCCAGGCCUGACCUUUCCCUAAGAGCUGCAUCAGUUCCGAUGAGCAUGUUCAGUUAGUGGAGAGUUUGACUUGGGAUGACAGAUUUUUACAAUCAUGCGAAUGCGUGUGGUGCUGUAGCAUAGCCAGCACAAGGAAAGAGUCUGCCCCUUUGAGAUAGCACAGUUCUUCAGGUUUUCCUUUUAGUUUCCUAGGUCAUCUAUAACUGAUUAUUAAAUAUAUAUCCAUACCUACCCUCUUUCUCAGUUUCAUCACAAAAUCCUCUGGGAGAGGCAAGAUGGAAUGGGUUGGUGCGCUCAAGGGCCCUUGUUUCGCGUCAGCUGAGGGCAGCAGUCACACUCUAUGGAGGGAUCAUUCUUAACUGUCACUCUCCACUUACCAUGAACCUGCUUGCUUAGCAGAAAGGGAGCAGAGGCAUGGAUGUCACUGAGCUCCUUGGGGGCUGUGUUGCCCUAAAUAGGUCAGAAACCAUCAUCUCCAGAGAAGAAAACACACCAUUGAUUAGGCUCAUUCCCAGGAGACCUACAGCAUGCCCCUAACAUAACCUGCUUUUGUUUUUCCAGUCUAAGAGCUGUGAAUGUGAAAUGACCACAUGGACCAAUUAAUCAUGUUUUUAGAGAGUUACAGCCUGUCGUUAGCCUCUUAGUUUGGUUGUCGAUUCAUAGCGCAGACAGCCUUCCCCGCUUGGCAGAGCACAACAUGGAAGCAGAGAACGUUCCAGGAAGCACGCCUGUGGUAUGUGGCUGCAGUUACCGUCUCAGUGGCCAAGGGGCAGGCGUUCUCCAUGGCUGCUUGAAACAGCACAAAGUAAAAGUUACCUUCCCUAAUCCCUGUGGAGAUUUAGUCAUGGAAAUAAAUAAUUAAUUCACAGUUCCAAGCUCAGGCAAGCUCCUGGAAGCUCUCAUCAGCCCUCAUCUUUGGGGAAAUGUCAUUAUAUUGGGACAGAGUUUUGUAAACCAACUUAAUGCUGAUGUAAUUCUAAUCUGUGACUUUCCCCCAACCCUAAAAAAAAAAGGUGUCGGUGGGCUAAUGCAGCCAAGCAUGCUUUUUUGCACAGAAUCACCUGUCUUUAAAGAGAAAUCGUUACUCAAUUCUAGGACAUCCAUAUUCCACUAAAACAGCGAUUUGUCCUGAUGGUUGUUUUGGUCUGUUACCCAAAAAGGAGGCGUGAGGUUUGGGGAGUACCAGAUACAAUAUUUAGCAUCCCCUCCCUGGGAGGUGAGCUUCUUUGGAAGGGAUUAAUGUCAUUGUGUUGCUUACUUUUGAGACUCAGAAGAGAAAAGUGAAAUAGGAUUGCAUAUUCAGGAAAAUAUAAAGUGUGUAUAGGACCAGAGGAUAAUUAGAAUGAGCACUGGAAUUUGUUCACCUGCUUGUCUUCUUUUAAUAAGACGUGGUAUGUAGAGAGUGUGCUGGGGAGUUCUGGCUUGAACCUUAAAGGAUAAAAAUAUUAUAAAAAACCCCUGUCGGUCAUUUUUUGUCUACACAAUCUAAAUAUGAAGUGAAUAGUCUAAUAUAAUAAUGGGCCAUCAGAUCCUAUUGGAUUUGAAUGUCCACAGUUUGCCUUUGAACCACCUUAUCUACAUACUUACAAAAAAUGUAAAAGUAAGAGGUGAUUAUCAUUGGAAUUUAAGAAGGCCGUUAAUAAUUGACUUAUUUUUGCACCAGUUAUAAGAUGUGCAUUCCAGGCAAGCAAGCUUCUUAUUCACCCAGUUCUGUCAAGAAGGCAAAAGCCCCUCGUGAAGAAAAGUGUGUCCUAAGCCAGAAAUGAUUUCUAUAGUUAUCUCACCUCCCCUGAAACCCAUACCCUGAGCCAUAGCAUAGCACUCCAAUGGAGAGAGGCUUCUUGGUUAGUAUUUUCUUCAUGUUCUGCUCAGCAGGAUGAGCUGUACAUGGCAUGCCUGGGAAGACACAGCAUCCUGCAGCACAACAUAUGUUAAGCAUCAUAGUGCAGCAGAGCAGGCGCUGCUGGACAGUCAGGAGAUGGGGCUUCUUAAAAUGCUGGUCAUCAGAUCGUGAGCAAGUCACUCAACCCGCUGCUUAACUUUUCCUCCCUAUCGAGACCCUUUAGGUACCAAUUCAGUAUAUAGGUUCCAAUAUUCAAUAUAUAGGUCCCAAUAGUAUAUUAUGUACCCAGUCCUUUAUAUAGGUCCACACUGUGGUAUCUGUGGGAUAAGUGAAGAGAGACUGCUCUGUGGAAUAUGGAGAGUCUCAAUAUGAUACUUUUGAGAGUGUUUUGGAAACGUAAAUGC
rnacentral:lncRNA from 1 species